rnacentral:misc_RNA from 1 species
UUUCCGUUGGUGAACCAGCGGAAGGAUCAUUACAGAGAUCGUGCCCUUCGGGGUAGACCUCCCACCCUGUGUUAUUUACGUAUGUUGCUUUGGCGGGCCGCCUCCGGGCCCUCGGCUUCGGCCGAGGUGUGCCCGCCAGAGAACCCACAACCCUGUGUUUAGUGUCGUCUGAGUAUUAUCAAAUAAGUUAAAACUUUCAACAACGGAUCUCUUGGUUCUG